rnacentral:rRNA from 1 species
AUGCCACCGAAUAACCUGUCGCUGUUGUUCACAUUUUUAUGUCUUAUUAUAUCCCUUAGAGUCCUAUCUAGCGCCUCAAAACAUAUCUUGUUUGCCAUUGGAGCUUCAUCAUAUAGUAUUAGCGAUGUCUUUUUUAGUAGUUCUGCCAAGUAUGAACCCUGUUUGAUGUCACAUGUUGACUCUUCUGUAAGGAUUAGUGGAAGGUGGAACCUCGAGCGCGUUGUUCUCCCUCCUUCUAGAAGUAGUGCUGCAAUACCAGAUGAUGCCAUUGCUAGUACUAUAUUCCCUUCAGAAGCAACUUUGUUGUGA